UCUCCAACCUUUGUGCUUCUAUGAUUCUAUGAAACAAAGGAGAAGCAAUUCCCAUUGGAGCAGCUCUAGCCCAAGUUGCAGCAGAGAGGCUGACAAUUCAGGCCCUUUUAAGGUCAUUGCCGUUAAAUUAGUCACUUGGAAACAGUAUCGGCUUGUGAGACAAUCUUUAUAGUAGAUGCAGAGCUGACUACAAUGAAUCCCAAUGCAUUUAAAUAUCUCCAGUAUAGGUAAAAUCUGCAGGUAUACUUUCUUCAAGGAAUACUGAAAACGUAUCAGCUAUAACAAGACUAAUACCUAAUAUCUGUAAGUUCCCACCAGAAUAAGACCUUGUCUAAGAUCACUUAAUCACUGUUUCAUUAAUGAUGAAACAUUUAUGUAUACAUUUUAAGCUAUGUAUAUCCUUUCAUUCUGGACUUCUCAGGAACAAAGACAAAUAAUUUCCAUGUGCUGUAAUGCUUAAGUUUGACUAUAUAUUGCAUAAGAUGCACAUGUAUACUCAAAGCAAACUGAAUUACAACUCCGCUGUUUAGUUUUUCAAAUAGAAAGUCAAAGAGCUUGAAAUAGCUAGCACAUCAGUGAUUGAAUCACUUAUCCAUCAUAGUCUGUCUGUGAGAGUACCUGUUGUUCAGCUUCCAUAGAAUAAUUAUUCAAAAUCGUAUUUGACUACAUUUCAUAGAAUAAUCUUUAAAAAUCCUAUCUGAUUAUGUUCUUCAUUAAGUCACUAUUACAAUUUGUGUGAAUACAUACAAGCAGAUACAAAGCUAUGUAAAUAUAGACAUUUUUUGGUUCUUGUCUAUUUUUUAUUCCCCCAUGUGACAAAAGUUGCUAAAGUACAUGUGGUAUUCAAAGCAAUCUGUUUUUGAACUAGAAACUCCACAGGCAUUGGGUCAUUGCUGUAGAUGAAGGUCUUCCAUCAUCGUUUUAUACUAUAGUUGUUUUACUUGAAGAUAAAAUAACAGGGAAUUAAUACCAAACAAAGAGGGUGCUGUCAUUUUAUGUGUGGAGUUUUGCACUGAUUUAGUAUGUGAAUAUUUGUGGUGAUUAGUAUUUACAAUUGUAAUGAGUGUCUACUCUAAAACUUCCAUUUUGAUUACUGAAGGACAGGUAAUGACUAAUGAAUAUAUCACAUAAGAUUAUAUUUUCAAAUAAAGGAUAUUCAUGUUCUUUCCAGUAGUUCUAAAAUGCUCAUAUUGGUUCUUCCAUGUGAAAUCAUUACCUGCAAAAUGAAAUUACAGUUCUUUCUUUAGUUCAGUGUGUCCAGGAUUUUUUCUUACAUUCCUGAUAGUGCUGACUGCACCCAUCAAAGGCAGAGGCAAAGAAAUGGAACUGACAAUUUUUUUUAUUUUUAUUUUUUUUUCCUAAGGAAAAUCAGAAGUCUCUUCACAGUCUUAUUCUUUUUUCCCUAUCGUGUAGAAUUUCCCUGUCCUUGUGAGAUAGUUUAUUCCUUAUGUCUUAGUAUCAGAUUUCCAAAAUUCCAGCACUGACCUCGAUGUCAUUCCCCCACAACAGAAUAUCUUGGCUACGUGAAGAAAAUCUUGAUCACAGUUUCUGAGAGAUGUUAUACUGAAAGGUGGUAUGUUUCUCUUUGUUGCACGAUGGCAUUUUGUUGUGUGAAAAACAAUUAAAGCUGGAAUACAGUUCUAUUAAACACAAUGAGAGGUUGACUACCUAAUGUUCUGGGCCUUGUGCAUUCAUCUGUCUGUGUGAUAAAUGGGUGUAAACUGUUAUUAUUCUAACUUGUUAGCAUGGUAGAUCCACUAUGCAGAAUCUUAAGACACUGAAACAGGAACAGGGCCAAGGGUGAUUGCUUGCUGAACCGCUUAAAUAAAACAUUAACAAAUAUAAGAAUAAAAACAAAGUCAGAUUGUUUCUCCUGCUCCACUGAUAUAGAGUGCAUCCCCAGGUAAGCAACUGGCAUUGUAAAAGAGAGCUGGAGAGUCUUGAAGUUUUAAGACAAUACAGCUUCCCAAUGCAUAUUGAAAUGAAAUCAUAAUAGUUAAAACAAA